AUUGAACGCUGGCGGAAUGCUUUACACAUGCAAGUCGAACGGCAGCACGGACUUCGGUCUGGUGGCGAGUGGCGAACGGGUGAGUAAUGUAUCGGAACGUGCCCAGUCAUGGGGGAUAACGUAGUGAAAAUUACGCUAAUACCGCAUACGAUCUAUGGAUGAAAGCGGGGGAUCGCAAGACCUCGCGCGAUUGGACCGGCCGAUAUCAGAUUAGGUAGUUGGUGGGGUAAAGGCCCACCAAGCCAACGAUCUGUAGCUGGUCUGAGAGGACGACCAGCCACACUGGAACUGAGACACGGUCCAGACUCCUACGGGAGGCAGCAGUGGGGAAUUUUGGACAAUGGGCGGAAGCCUGAUCCAGCCAUUCCGCGUGCAGGAUGAAGGCCCUCGGGUUGUAAACUGCUUUUGUACAGAACGAAAAGGUUUCUACUAAUACUAGGAGCUCAUGACGGUACUGUAAGAAUAAGCACCGGCUAACUACGUGCCAGCAGCCGCGGUAA
rnacentral:rRNA from 1 species